ACCUGCCUGGCUCAGUCAGAAGAGCGUAAGACUCUUGAUCUCAGGGUUGUGAGUUCGAGCCCCAUGUUGGGUA
rnacentral:tRNA from 1 species